GUAGGUGAACCUGCGGAAGGAUCAUUGUCGAUGCCUGCCCAACAGAGAGACCCGCGAACACGUUGUGCCAUCGUCCGGGGGCGGGGGGCGCGGGGGCGCAUGCCCCCUCCUCCCCGACCCCCGCAAGGGUCGGGCCGCGGAUGCCCGCGGCGUCCGGCCCGAAACAAAACCACCGGCGCGGUCGGCGCCAAGGAACUCACAACGGAAUGGGCGUGCCACCGCUGUGCCCCCGGUGCGGUGCGUGUCCGUCUCGAAUCCGAAACUCACUAACGACUCUCGGCAACGGAUAUCUCGGCUCUCGCAUCGAUGAAGAACGUAGCGAAAUGCGAUACUUGGUGUGAAUUGCAGAAUCCCGUGAACCAUCGAGUCUUUGAACGCAAGUUGCGCCCCAGGCCGUCAGGCCGAGGGCACGCCUGCCUGGGCGUCACGUAUCGUGCCGUCCCCCCCUCCGUCGUCCCCAGCGGCGACGGAGCGCGGAUCGGAGAUUGGUCCCCCGUGCCUCCGCCGCGAGGCGCGGUCGGCCUAAAUGCAAUCGGUCCCCCGUGUGGCGAGCGUCACGACGAGCGGUGGUCGUAGCCACCCUGCCGUCAGUCCGGACGCCGUGCGCGCUCACCCGCCGGGGCCUCGGCAGCAAACCCGAUCGCGUGCCGUCGCGAGACGGCACCUUCGACCGCGACCCCAGGUCAGGCGGGGCUACCCGCUGAG
rnacentral:rRNA from 1 species